UGCAGUCGAGCGAACUGACGAGGAGCUUGCUCCUUUGACGUUAGCGGGGACGGGUGAGUAACACGUGGGUAACCUACCUAUAAGACUGGAAUAACUCCGGGAAACCGGGGCUAAUGCCGGAUAACAUAUCGAACCGCAUGGAUCGAUAGUGAAAGACGGCCUUGCUGUCACUUAUACAUGGACCCGCGCCGUAUUAGCUAGUUGGUGAGGUAACGGCUCACCAAGGCCACGAUACGUAUCCGACCUGAGAGGGUGAUCGGCCACACUGGAACUGAGACACAGUCCAGACUCCUACGGGAGGCAGCAGUAGGGAAUCUUCCGCAAUGGGCGAAAGCCUGACGGAGCAACGCCGCGUGAGUGAUGAAGGUCUUCGGAUCGUAAAGCUCUGUUGUUAGGGAAGAACAAAUGUGUAAGUAACUAUGCGCAUCUUGACGGUACCUAACCAGAAAGCCACGGCUAACUACGUGCCAGCAGCCGCGGUAAUACGUAGGUGGCAAGCGUUAUCCGGAAUUAUUGGGCGUAAAGCGCGCGUAUGCGGUUUUUUAAGUCUGAUGUGAAAGCCCACGGCUCAACCGGGGAGGGACAUUGGAAACUGGAAAACUUGAGUGCAGAAGAGGAAAGUGGAAUUCCAUGUGUAGCGGUGAAAUGCUCAGAGAUAUGGAGGAACACCAGUGCCGACCGCGGCUUUCUGACCUGUAACUGACGCUGAUGUGCGAA
rnacentral:rRNA from 1 species